rnacentral:rRNA from 1 species
AGUCCCUACGGGAGGCAGCAGUGAGGAAUUUUGGACAAUGGGCGCAAGCCUGAUCCAGCUAUUCCGCGUGUGGGAUGACGGCCCUCGGGUUGUAAACCACUUUAGUAGAGAACGAAAAGGAGCUAUCGGAUAAAUAGCUCUGCUGACGGUACUCUAAGAAUAAGCACCGGCUAACUACGUGCCAGCAGCCGCGGUAAUACGUAGGGUGCGCGCGUUAAUCGGAAUUACUGGGCGCAAAGGGUGUGCAGUCGUCUGAGUAAGGCAGAUGUGAAAUCCCCGGGCUUACCCUG